GGAGAAAUGGCAGAGUGGUCAAUUGCGACGGUUUCGAAAAUCGUUUUAGUUUUACUAACGGGGGUUCGAAUCCCUCUUUCUCCA
rfam:Klebsormidium nitens chloroplast DNA, scaffold: kfl01813, whole genome shotgun sequence.